rnacentral:rRNA from 1 species
UGAUCCUGGCUCAGGACGAACGCUGGCGGCGUGCUUAACACAUGCAAGUCGAGCGGAAAGGCCCUUCGGGGUACUCGAGCGGCGAACGGGUGAGUAACACGUGAGUAACCUCCCCUAGGCUUUGGGAUAACCCUCGGAAACGGGGGCUAAUACCGAAUAUUCAUGGACUCCGCAUCGUGGUUUGUGGAAAGUUUUUCGGCCUGGGAUGGGCUCGCGGCCUAUCAGCUUGUUGGUGGGGUGAUGGCCUACCAAGGCGACGACGGGUAGCCGGCCUGAGAGGGCGACCGGCCACACUGGGACUGAGACACGCCCCAGACUCCUACGGGAGGCAGCAGUGGGGAAUAUUGCACAAUGGGCGGAAGCCUGAUGCAGCGACGCCGCGUGAGGGAUGAAGGCCUUCGGGUUGUAAACCUCUUUCGACAGGGACGAAGCGCAAGUGACGGUACCUGGAGAAGAAGCGCCGGCCAACUACGUGCCAGCAGCCGCGGUAAGACGUAGGGCGCGAGCGUUGUCCGGAUUUAUUGGGCGUAAAGAGCUCGUAGGCGGCUUGUUGCGUCAGCUGUGAAAACCCGCAGCUCAA